rnacentral:rRNA from 1 species
GUGAAAUUGUUGAAAGGGAAGCGCUUGCAACCAGACCUGCCUGCAGUUGCUCAUCCGGGCUUUUGCCCGGUGCACUCUUCUGCUGUCAGGCCAGCAUCGGUUCGGGCGGUCGGAUAAAGGCUUCGGGAAUGUAGCUCCUCUCGAGGAGUGUUAUAGCCCGUUGCGAAAUGCGGCCAGCCUGAACUGAGGUCCGCGCUUCGGCUAGGAUGCUGGCGUAAUGGUUGUAAGCGGCCCGUCUUGAAACACGGACCAAGGAGUCUAACAUCUGUGCGAGUGUUUGGGUGUCAAACCCGUACGCGUAAUGAAAGUGAACGGAGGCGGGAACCCCUCGGGGUGCACCGUCGACCGAUCCUGAUGUCUUCGGAUGGAUUUGAGUAAGAGCAUAGCUGUUGGGACCCGAAAGAUGGUGAACUAUGCCUGAAUAGGGUGAAGCCAGAGGAAACUCUGGUGGAGGCUCGCAGCGGUUCUGACGUGCAAAUCGAUCGUCAAAUUUGGGCAUAGGGGCGAAAGACUAAUCGAACUAUCUAGUAGCUGGUUCCUGCCGAAGUUUCCCUCAGGAUAGCAGUAACGUUUUCAGUUUUAUGAGGUAAAGCGAAUGAUUAGAGGCCUGGGGGUUGAAACAACCUUCACCUAUUCUCAAACUUUAAAUAUGUAAGAAGUCCUUGUUGCUUAGUUGAACGUGGACAU